AAGACAGAAAGCAGCAUGUGGGGGACAGCAUGCUAUCCUCCUCCCUUCUCCCUCUUUCCUCCCCAAAUCAAUCUGUUUUGACUGAAUCACUUUCAGCAACCGCAUCAAGGCACCGCCAUUAUGGCAGUGGAUGGUUUGAAGGGGGCCCCAUCCAUUUGCUGGGGUAUUUUGCUGACCGUUUUGUGAGUAUAUGGGCCCUUACUGCUUGCUGACAUGAUGAAGAGCAGCCUGACUACAUGUGCAAACACAGGAAGACAGAAAACAGCCUUUGCAUUCUGCCCUGCCUUCUCAUGCUCCUUCCCUCCUGUAUGCUGAACCUCUUGGAUCUGGUGCUCCUCACCUUCAAGCUGUAUCAUCUUAGGUAUCACUUAAAAAAUGCUGAUGCUCAAGGGAUGUCCAGGGAGAGUGAUGGGAUGAAAAUCAGGUCAUCAGCUCCUGAAGCUGGUACUACACCUGGCACAGGAGUAGAAAUGGAAAGUGGGGAGCUGUUUGGAAGGCAGAGUAUCGCUGGGAGCUCGAGAUUCCCAGAGCUGGCAGUUGGAAAGGCUGCUGGGUGUCUGGGUGCUGGAGGUUGGUAGUCAUCCCUGAGCAGAUCUGCCAUUUGCAUUUUCUUCUUUGCCAGCAUUUGCUUUCAACAUUGUAACGAAGAGCCUGGACAUACACCUUGCAAAAUGCCUCUUCUCUUGUAUUACUUGAUUCCUUGUGCACACUGGUCUUAAACACAUUUAGCUGGAAAUUGGAAGAUUUUUAACCAGUGGAGGGAUUGGGUUCUGGACCAGUUUUUCAGUAGAAGGGAAUAAACCCAACCAUAAUGUUUACAAAAAGGUCCAAAUAAAGGUGUUUGCGGCAUUUGUGUGCUGGCCUGCCAGACACCAGGGAGUCUGAGAUAUCCUUGAAGGCAGAGCCUGCUGUUGAUGAGUCACUAUCACUGACUAGAGGCCUAGUUUAUGUUUUCUAGGAAUCAGGCUCUCCCAAAGGCUGUCACAUAGAAGCAUAUACGUUCAACUGUAAAGCAAGUCCAAACCUCUGACUUCCCUGAGAGUACCUCUGGAGGGCAGUGAGGAGGUCUGAACAUACUGAAGUCCCUUCUUCGGGUGCUCUGCAAAGAUACCACCAAACGAUGUCAUUCCUACAUGGUCACAGAGUCCAUGCAGUUUUUCAGAUGAGCUCAUACACAUAGAAAGCCUUACUCAAAGUCCAAACGUCUCUACUUUGAAGACAGUACUGAACCAUUGGAUCAGUACACUAGAUCAUGAUACUUAACUAUACAGCCAUAGGUCUGCUAGAUAUAUGACUCCUUCUCUCAACUGCCUCAGGCUGGAGGCACACAGCUGCCUUGAGAUCAUCUCCUGACCUCUGAGUCAUUUCCCUGAGAUGAGCUCCUACCGUAUAGAAGGUGAUUUGGACAUACCGGUUUUUAUUUUGUAGUUUCAAUGAAUUUCAUCUUAUUUCUGUUAUUAUUUCCAGUCCAAAGUGUCAUGCAGUUCCUUCUGUACGACACACCAGUUUGUUUCCGUUUUGGGAACACCUCCCAGCUCUGUGCCAUCAACACAUAUCAUCAACGUACUCCUGACAUUUGUGCCAAUUUAGCAUUUGCGUUUAGGCUAUAUUUCCAACAAACCACAUGCUACUUCGUACACCCUGGUGGAAGAUGACUUAACCCCAUGUUGUCACUCAGUACAGCACUUGAUGCUGAACACCCUCCUAGCAAAACUGCUGUAACUCCCACUGAAUCCACUGAUGGUAGUCUAUUAGGCCACAGCACCGAAGAGACUGAAAAGUUUAAGAACAGUAAGGGGCAAGUUGUUAAGAAAACAGGUUUGAAUAUGCCAGUGUUUUUUUAGGGUAAUUUUUGUAGCUUUGUAUUGAUCAAUACAAUGGGAAGAAAAAACACCCUGUGUUUAAACAAAAUUACAGUGAAUUGCUCAAAGGCAAAACAAAAUUCUCUGCUCAGCUGUUUGGCUCACAUUCAUCUCCCUUUACUCCUAUAGAACUGACAUUUUAAUUAACUGUGUCAGGUGGAUGUGCAACAUCUCUGCUGAAAAGCCUAUAUCUGCUCAGCUGUGUGUCACAGUUUCUGUACUGCAAACGUCUACAAGAGGUCACACUUCUGUGGCAAGAGGAUCCAAAUUCUGAACAAAUGCUUGAUAAUACAUAAUCUGGCUAAACUUUUCUUCUGCUUGCACAAAUCUAGAGAAAGUAGUGAUUUCCCUGUAUUACUGAAAUACAUGGGUUUGGGGCUUUUUUUUUGUGAGCAAGUCUCUAUAGCUGGAUCAAAAAUCAGUUCUUUGUGGGUAAUAAACAGUUUUAUGUG
ensembl:lncRNA